rnacentral:rRNA from 1 species
CCUACGGGAGGCUGCAGUAGGGAAUAUUGCUCAAUGGGGGAAACCCUGAAGCAGCAACGCCGCGUGGAGGAUGAAGGUUUUCGGAUUGUAAACUCCUUUUGUUAGAGAAGAUAAUGACGGUAUCUAACGAAUAAGCACCGGCUAACUCCGUGCCAGCAGCCGCGGUAAUACGGAAGGUGCAAGCGUUAAUCGGAAUCACUGGGCGUAAAGAGCGCGUAGGCGGGUUAGCAAGUCAGAUGGGAAAUCCUAUGGGUUAAACAUAGAACUGCAUUUGAAACUGUUAUUCUAGAGUAUGGGAGUGGUAGGUGGAAUUCUUGGUGUAGGGGUAAAAUCCGUAGAGAUCAAGAGGAAUACUGAUUGCGAAGGCGACCUGCUAGAACAAAACUGACGCUGAUGCGCGAAAGCGUGGGGAUCAAACAGGAUUAGAUACCCGAGUAGUC